ensembl:rRNA 5S_rRNA 5S ribosomal RNA
GCUUACAGCCACACCACCCUGAACAUCUCUGAUUUUUGGAAGUUAAGCAGGGUUGAACCUGGUUAGUACUUGGAUGGGAGACAAGAUGAGAAUGGCCAGGCAUGGCUGUGGUCU